AUGUGUCUAAGGAGAAGACUGACGAUCAUAUGGCUCCGCCUAGCAAGCAAAUUGAUAUUGCUCCAUCUAACCAUCCAAAUGAGAGUGUUCUCUUAUAGGACGGUGGUGUCUCUGCUGAAGGGGCAGGGCAACUUACUAUGCAAGGGCCGCAAAAUGUAUGGUUGUUCUGCAGGACCACUAGAUAGGUCAAAAAGGUUGAAUGUGAUUCAGGUUACGGACCAACGUGAUGAUGAAGAUGGAGACUGCAACAAUGGUGAGCAAUUCCCACCAGGUCAUGAAUCACAAGCAUUGGUCGGUGAAGAGGGUCAAGUUCACAAUCAAGUAUACAAUGAAGUACGCAAGCGCAAGAGAACAAGCUUGCCAAUUGUCUGGAACAUGCCAAAGGGGCAAAGAAUAGUUGUAAAAUGCAAUGAAGAUAGCCAGCCUAUAGGAGAUGAAGGUGCAAUCUUGGGGAAGUUUCUGGGCACGAUUGCUAGAAACGGAGGAUUUUGCCCACUAAACAUAAAUGAUUGGUGUCAAGUCAAUAAGAACAGUGACAAAGUUCGUGUAUCCUCGAUCAUGUGA
rnacentral:rRNA from 1 species